UACGAAGGGGGCUAGCGUUGCUCGGAAUCACUGGGCGUAAAGCGCACGUAGGCGGAUUGCUAAGUCAGGGGUGAAAUCCUGGAGCUCAACUCCAGAACUGCCUUUGAUACUGGCGACCUUGAGUCCGGGAGAGGUGAGUGGAACUGCGAGUGUAGAGGUGAAAUUCGUAGAUAUUCGCAAGAACACCCGUAGCGAAGGCGACACUCUGGGCCGAUACUGACACUGAGGAGCGAAAGCGUGGGGAGCGAACAGG
rnacentral:rRNA from 1 species